rnacentral:rRNA from 1 species
CCUACGGGUGGCUGCAGUGGGGAAUAUUGGACAAUGGGCGAAAGCCUGAUCCAGCCAUGCCGCGUGUGUGAAGAAGGCCUUCGGGUUGUAAAGCACUUUCAGUGGGGAAGAAAGCCUUGGGGCUAAUACCCUCGAGGAAGGACAUCACCCACAGAAGAAGCACCGGCUAACUCCGUGCCAGCAGCCGCGGUAAUACGGAGGGUGCGAGCGUUAAUCGGAAUUACUGGGCGUAAAGCGCGCGUAGGCGGUCUGAUAAGCCGGUUGUGAAAGCCCCGGGCUCAACCUGGGAACGGCAUCCGGAACUGUCAGGCUAGAGUGCAGGAGAGGAAGGUAGAAUUCCCGGUGUAGCGGUGAAAUGCGUAGAGAUCGGGAGGAAUACCAGUGGCGAAGGCGGCCUUCUGGACUGACACUGACGCUGAGGUGCGAAAGCGUGGGUAGCAAUCAGGAUUAGAUACCCCGGUAGUC